GACGAACGCUGGAGGCGUGCUUAACACAUGCAAGUCGAACGAUGAAAUGGAGCUUGCUCCAUGGAUUAGUGGCGAACGGGUGAGUAACACGUGAAUAACCUGCCCUUAAUUUUGGAAUAACCCAGGGAAACCUGGGCUAAUACCGGAUCAGUAAACCUGUGGCAUCACAUGGUUUUGGAAAGUUUUUCGAUUAAGGAUGGAUUCGCGGCCUAUCAGCUUGUUGGUGAGGUAAUGGCGCACCAAGGCGACGACGGGUAGCCGGCCUGAGAGGGUGAACGGCCACACUGGGACUGAGACACGGCCCAGACUCCUACGGGAGGCAGCAGUGGGGAAUAUUGCGCAAUGGACGAAAGUCUGACGCAGCGACGCCUCGUGAGGGACGAAGGUCUUCGGAUUGUAAACCUCUUUCAGCAGGGACGAAGCGAAAGUGACGGUACCUGCAGAAGAAGCACCGGCUAACUAUGUGCCAGCAGCCGCAGUAA
rnacentral:rRNA from 1 species